rnacentral:rRNA from 1 species
CUCGUAGGCGGCCAACUAAGUCAGACGUGAAAUCCCUCGGCUUAACCGGGGAACUGCAUCUGAUACUGGAUGGCUUGAGAUCGGGAGAGGGAUGCGGAAUUCCAGGUGUAGCGGUGAAAUGCGUAGAUAUCUGGAGGAACACCGGUGGCGAAGGCGGCAUCCUGGACCGACACUGACGCUGAUGAGCGAAAGCCAGGGGAGCAAACG